AGGUGAAAUUUGGUUGCUCAGGUGUAAUUUAGCUUUGUGUAAAAUUAUUUUGAAGCUAUUAAGUUUUUGGUAUAAAACAGGAUUAGAUACCCUGCUAUACUUUAAUUAAAGUUAGUGACUUGAGUAGUAAAUAGUUAUGUUCUUUAAACUUAAAGAAUUUGGCGGUAUUUUAGUCUUGUUAGAGGAACCUGUUCCGUAAACGAUAUUCCACGAAUGAUCUUACUCUUCUUUGUAGUUCAGUUUGUAUACCGCCAUUAUUAGAUAGUUUUAUAAAAAUUUGUUUUAAUAGUUUGAGUUAAUAUAUUAGGUCAAGGUGCAGCCUAUAGAAGAGCGGGCAAUGGGUUACAUUGUAAUAUGUUGAGACGAAUGGGUAGAGGUAUUUCUGUCUGGAAGGUGGAUUUAAUAGUAAGGUUGUUUUAAUACGGCAGCCUGAUAGUAGCUCUAAAAUAUGUA
rnacentral:rRNA from 1 species